UGAUUUUAUUUUGGAUUGAUUUAUUUUAGUUGGGUUUAUGUUAUGUUGAUUGGGUUUAUUUGCAUAUUGUCAUUUUAGGGUCUUUUCAGAUUGUUUUCUUUGCAAGGGCCUAUUUGUUAUUUUGUGACCCUAUAUAUUUGGGUCCAUCCUCAUGUUUAGGGUUUGAUAAACGAUGAAUGAAAAUUAACCUCCUUUCUUCUUCCUCCUC
rnacentral:lncRNA from 1 species